UACGUAGGGGGCAAGCGUUGUCCGGAUUUAUUGGGCGUAAAGAGCGUGUAGGCGGCCAGGCAGGUCCGUUGUGAAAACUCGAGGCUCAACCUCGAGACGUCGAUGGAAACCGUCUGGCUAGAGUCCGGAAGAGGAGAGUGGAAUUCCUGGUGUAGCGGUGAAAUGCGCAGAUAUCAGGAAGAACACCUAUGGCGAAGGCAGCUCGCUGGGACGGUACUGACGCUGAGACGCGAAAGCGUGGGGAGCGAACAGG
rnacentral:rRNA from 1 species